GCACCUUCGGGUGAGUGGCGGACGGGUGAGUAACACGUGGGAACGUGCCUUUUGGUUCGGAAUAAUCCGGGGAAACCUGGCCUAAUACCGAAUGUGCCCUUCGGGGGAAAGAUUUAUCGCCAUUAGAGCGGCCCGCGUCUGAUUAGCUUGUUGGUGGGGUAAUGGCCCACCAAGGCUACGAUCAGUAGCUGGUCUGAGAGGAUGAUCAGCCACACUGGGACUGAGACACGGCCCAGACUCCUACGGGAGGCAGCAGUGGGGAAUAUUGGACAAUGGGCGCAAGCCUGAUCCAGCCAUGCCGCGUGAGUGACGAAGGCCUUAGGG
rnacentral:rRNA from 1 species